AAACUUUCAACAACGGAUCUCUUGGUUCCGGCAUCGAUGAAGAACGCAGCGAAAUGCGAUACGUAAUGUGAAUUGCAGAAUUCAGUGAAUCAUCGAGUCUUUGAACGCACAUUGCGCCCCCUGGUAUUCCGGGGGGCAUGCCUGUCCGAGCGUCAU
rnacentral:rRNA from 3 species